UUCAUUGUAAAUUUGGUAGUCAUAAAUAGUCCGCUUUUCUGGCCGGUGUCAAGCCGAACCCAAAGAAGAAUCGUUGCAGCAAGAAUAGUCAGAUUUCCUAUACCAGCCUAACCGCACGGUGCUCCCGCUUCACCUGUGUUUGCCUAGCAGUUUUUUGGAAGGCAUACCUGCAGCAUCUUACCUCGGCCGCGGUCCUGCCCUCCUCUUGAUCUGGCGUUGUGGUGGCUCGACGAGAGCGUGGUUCCCCUACCUGGAGCUCAGACGUUCUCCUGCUCGGCAGCUGUGGUCACGGUGGUGCUACACUCCUGGAAGCUACACUCCUUGAUGCUUCGAGACGUCAGAGGCGUGUACCGUGUGAUGUUCAUGGCCAGCCAUGGAUGACCGAGCCAGCCGUUGAUCCAUCCUUUGAACUUAAAUAAAGCCUGUUCAGUUUCUAGUA